rnacentral:rRNA from 1 species
CACGUAGGCGGCCUGGUAAGUCAGAUGUGAAAGCCCGGGGCUUAACCCCGGAAGUGCAUUUGAUACUGUCAGGCUUGAGUAUGGGAGAGGGAAGUGGAAUUCCUGGUGUAGAGGUGAAAUUCGUAGAUAUCAGGAGGAACACCGGUGGCGAAGGCGACUUCCUGGACCAAUACUGACGCUGAGGUGCGAAGGCGUGGGUAGCAAACAG